rnacentral:sRNA from 1 species
ACUGCUCUGUCGUUCAGAGAAUUAUUAAAUGCCACAUGAAUUUUGAGCUAAACCUUUUGCUGCACCCAGUUGUUGUGUACCUCAAUGUUUCCCCCUCUUUUCAACGUUACAUUUCGAUAAUUCAAUUGAUUAGCAUCUCGCCUUUCGGCGCACUUAUGUAUUUGAAAAAGGGACAACAUAUGUCUAAUGCAACAACCGGUAUAGUGAAAUGGUUCAAUGAAGAUAAAGGCUUUGGUUUCAUCACACAGGACAAUGGAGGUUCAGAUGUUUUCGUUCAUUUCCGUGCCAUUGUCUCUGAAGGGUUCAAAACCCUGAGUGAAGGGCAAAAAGUGUCAUUCUCUGUCGAGAGUGGCCAGAAAGGUCUGCAAGCAUCAAAUGUGAUGGCUAUUUAACCGGCCCAUACCGAUGAAAACGAAAGCCAGCGUCGCUGGCUUUUUUU